UUCAAGUUCGAGAGGGCAUGAUGUUGUUGAUUCUAAUAGGAAAAGCCACUGCCAGAGGCUUCGAUGCUGUGAUGUUGAGAGAAAGGCUGCGGAAAAGUUGUGAUGCAGAAACGCCGUUACAUAGUUAUGCCACCGCAGCGAAAGAGAGACUGUGAGAGAGGCUCUGAAUACUGCAUUUGACGAUGAAAUAUCUGCAGAUCCUAAGAGUCUUUCUAAUGGGAGAGGUGGUCGGAGAAUAAUGAGGUUUUUUUUUUUUUUUUUUGGGCAGAAGCAUGGACCUGAGAGGGUUGUUGAUACUGCAAUCACAGAGGCGAUUGACUAUGUUAUAAAUUCUGCUGCAAAUAUGAACUACAUGUCGGCUGGCAAUACAUCAGUCCCUAUAGUUUCGAGAGGAGCUGCAGCAGGAGUCAGUGCCCAUCAUUCCCAAGCCUUGUGAAGACAUAGCCAUCCCACCUGGAGGAAGGUUUUUCGGAUCCCACCUCGUUAGAUCACUCGUCACCCUCAGGAUCUAUCGGACUCAAGAAUGGCUCAUGGCAUGCGAAAUGAGAGUUGCUCAUGAACGGUGUAACAUUUCUGGUUUGUCCCUCCAACAAAGUGCUUCCUCAUCCUCUGGUUUUUCCAGAUUGGCGGUCACUAAUUUAUUAAUGCAGUGUGUUUAGUUGCAUUAUUUGA